AAAGUCGUGAAGCGAAAAUUCGUCUCGUCUCGUUAUCCUGUUAUUGUUGGCUGGUCACAUGACUGAAAGAAUAGGGGUUCACAUCACAGACGCCACAAGCGAUUAACAAUCGAUAAUUCGAACUGAAACAAGAUGGACGUUAUAGAUGAUUAUUAAUAAAUCGAGUCGUUGAUUUCUCUUGCAGAUUUGGUAAUGAUUGAGGUUUAUCACUCCUUCCUCUUCCUCCUGCUUCCUGAAUAGGACCUAGUGGGGCUUCAAAGGCCAAGAAU